rnacentral:rRNA from 1 species
AGCAGCCGCGGUAAUUCCAGCUCCAAUAGCGUAUAUUAAAGUUGCUACAGUUAAAAAGCUCGUAGUUGAAUUUCGGGACCAUCAUGUCGGUCGUGCCUCGGUACGUACUGGCAUUGUUGGUUUCUACCUUCUGACGAACCAUGAUGUCAUUUAUUUGGUGUCGUGGGGAAUCAGGACUGUUACUUUGAAAAAAUUAGAGUGUUUAAAGCAGGCUCACGCUUGAAUACAUUAGCAUGGAAUAAUGAAAUAGGACGUUUGACUCUAUUUUGUUGGUUUCUAGGAUCGACGUAAUGAUUAAUAGGGAUAGUUGGGGGCAUUAGUAUUCAAUUGUCAGAGGUGAAAUUCUUGGAUUUAUUGAAGACUAACUACUGCGAAAGCAUUUGCCAAGGGUGUUUUCAUUAAUCAAGAACGAAAGUUAGGGGAUCGAAGACGAUCAGAUACCGUCGUAGU